UACGUAGGUGGCAAGCGUUAUCCGGAAUUAUUGGGCGUAAAGAGUGAGCAGGCGGCAAUUUAAGUCUGAAGUCAAAGGCAGUGGCUCAACCACUGUUCGCUUUGGAAACUGAAUAGCUAGAGUACGAGAGAAGUAUGCGGAAUUCCAUGUGUAGCGGUGAAAUGCGUAGAUAUAUGGAGGAACACCAGAGGCGAAGGCGGCAUACUAGAUCGAUACUGACGCUCAGUCACGAAAGCGUGGGUAGCAAAUA
rnacentral:rRNA from 1 species